rnacentral:lncRNA from 1 species
AUGGGAGGCACCUUCCUCUUCCCCCUGCUGGAGCCAGCCAUGAAUGUAUCUUCAAACUCCCAUUACAUCUUAUUGGAACCUCCCCUUGCAUGUUGGUACCUGUCACUGAGGCUGCUGUGCCUCUUGACAAAGGUGGCUUCUACCUGUCUCUUCCACUGGCAUUAUUCUCUGCCACUUGGUUGGGCUCCAAGAGGAUAUCUACGCCAGCAUGGAGCCUAGGUGUCGUGCUCUGCUCUGUGAUUGGGAAAUCUUGAAGAUUCCUUCCCAACCAGAAUUAGAAGCAUAAUCUAAGCAUCAAAUCCCAGAUGGUCCUUUUUUCUUACUUCUUUGCUUUCCUCGUGCUUCAUUAUUGAAAUAAUCACUCUUGAGCUGAUGAUACUUAGAAGAGAUUUUGGACUUUUAACUGACACUAUGAAAGAAAAAGAUCUUUGUAAACUUUUGGAGUGGGAGCAUGUAUUCUACACAUGGGACAGCUGUGGACAUCAGGACCAGUCAACAUGAUACUUGAAUAACUUGCAACCUUGUCCAAUGAUCUCCUCUUCAAGUGUGAGCGAAACCUAUGAAUAAUGAUAUCACUCAAACGACUAUGUUGUAUUAUACCCUCCUUCUAAACCUCCUCAUCUUACGGGUAAGAUUUAUUGAGAGACACAAUCACAGAUUUGUGCUUUAUUAUAACAUCCAAUCUGGAACAAAUCCUUACCACCUUAAACCCUUUUGUAAAUUACCCAACCCAAAUCCAAACCCUAUAAUAGGUUCUUUCUGACAUCCUUUCAUUAAAAUGCUCCAUGAUAUCCUUGAUAAAUGUUGUCCCACUCUUCAUCGAGCAAUAAACCCACCUUGUUGCACUACAC